UCUCCAGCCUCAUUCUUACUGUUUUGGAGAAGACAAUGGACAAUGAUUUUAUUUGUCCCUGCCAAAGUGGCUAUAAUGAAUGGAAAUGUGUUUUGUAUGCAGUAGUUCCUACCAUUAUUUGCUUUUUUUUUGUUUUGAAUUUUGUGGACAAUGAAGGGAUGGAACACAAGUCCAAGAGGAAUGUAUCCUCCUCUAAUGUCCCACUGAAAACCAUGGAAAGAAACCAUGCAGAGAAAGAAGAGACAAAAAAACAAGUGAUAGAGAAACAAGGGACGGACGACAUACCUGAAUCUCAAGCCCUCCGCUCCGGUGUCACAUCCCCAGAGGACAAAAAAACAAGGUGCAAAUCCACAUGUAAAGAAUUACUUCAUGCUGCUCUUAUAGCCUUCAUCUGGCUGUUUCUCUUCUUCAUUGAUGGUCAAUAUUUCUCCUGUGCCUUUUCUGACUGUGGUGGCGAGUACACUGAGACUGGUGUUUUAAAGUGGUGCAGACCAAUGGGAAAUGAAACCCUGGUGUUUGAACGUCUGCAGGAGACUCAGAAGUGGAUCUUCAUAUCUCAGAUUAUAGGUUUUGUAAUAGGGCUGGUGAUCGCCCUCAUCCUAGAACUUUCAUACUGCUUCAGAUCUCCUUGCUGUAAGACAUGCUGUAGGUGUUAUUCAUGCUGUAAUUGUUGAUUUGAUGUUUGCCUCGGUCCUGCACGACGGGACAGCAGCGUGGCACAGAGCGACUGAAACAACAGCAGAGUAGGAGACUGAACCCAUCUCAACUGAGCUUUUACUCAAACGUUUUACUUACAUUUUUAUUUGAUCAGUGAUUUGAGCAGAACAUAUGUAAUGAAGGAGAAAAUCAGUGACCAGAUGGUUGUGAGAUUAAAUCCCAGAACUAUCACAAAGAACAUGAUUAGAGAUUCUGUACCUUCUUUACACAAACACAAAAAUAAAAUUGUAAAGUUGUGAUAUUUAGAA